UGCCAGACUCCUACGGGAGGCAGCAGUGGGGAAUAUUGGACAAUGGGGGGAACCCUGAUCCAGCGACGCCGCGUGAGUGAAGAAGUAUUUCGGUAUGUAAAGCUCUAUCAGCAGGGAAGAAAGAAAUGACGGUACCUGACUAAGAAGCCCCGGCUAACUACGUGCCAGCAGCCGCGGUAAUACGUAGGGGGCAAGCGUUAUCCGGAUUUACUGGGUGUAAAGGGAGCGUAGACGGCGAUGCAAGCCAGAUGUGAAAGCCCGGGGCUCAACCCCGGGACUGCAUUUGGAACUGUGUGGCUGGAGUGUCGGAGAGGCAGGCGGAAUUCCUAGUGUAGCGGUGAAAUGCGUAGAUAUUAGGAGGAACACCAGUGGCGAAGGCGGUCUGCUGGACAGCAACUGACGCUGAGGCGCGAAAGCGUGGGGAGCAAACAGGAUUAGAUACCCUAGUA
rnacentral:rRNA from 1 species